rnacentral:rRNA from 1 species
GAUGAACGCUGGCGGCGUGCCUAACACAUGCAAGUCGAGCGAAGCACUUUGCUUAGAUUCUUCGGAUGAAGAGGAUUGUGACUGAGCGGCGGACGGGUGAGUAACGCGUGGGUAACCCGCCUCGUACAGGGGGAUAACAGUUAGAAAUGACUGCUAAUACCGCAUAAGACCACAGCACCGCAUGGUGCAGGGGUAAAAACUCCGGUGGUAUGAGAUGGACACGCGUCUGAUUAGCUAGUUGGUAAGGUAACGGCUUACCAAGGCGACGAUCAGUAGCCGACCUGAGAGGGUGACCGGCCACAUUGGGACUGAGACACGGCCCAAACUCCUACGGGAGGCAGCAGUGGGGAAUAUUGCACAAUGGGGGAAACCCUGAUGCAGCGACGCCGCGUGAGCGAAGAAGUAUUUCGGUAUGUAAAGCUCUAUCAGCAGGGAAGAAAAUGACGGUACCUGACUAAGAAGCACCGGCUAAAUACGUGCCAGCAGCCGCGGUAAUACGUAGGGGGCAAGCGUUAUCCGGAUUUACUGGGUGUAAAGGGAGCGUAGACGGAUGGGCAAGUCUGAUGUGAAAACCCGGGGCUCAACCCCGGGACUGCAUUGGAAACUGUUCAUCUAGAGUGCUGGAGAGGUAAGUGGAAUUCCUAGUGUAGCGGUGAAAUGCGUAGAUAUUAGGAGGAACACCAGUGGCGAAGGCGGCUUACUGGACAGUAACUGACGUUGAGGCUCGAAAGCGUGGGGAGCAAACAGGAUUAGAUACCCUGGUAGUCCACGCCGUAAAC